GGAGGGGUGGCAGAGUGGUCGAAUGCAACGGUCUUGAAAACCGUCGUUGGCUAAUACCCAACCGAGAGUUCGAAUCUCUCCUCCUCCGCCA
rnacentral:tRNA from 1 species